UUUUUUGUUUAGUUUUAUGUACCUUGGAUAUGUCUAAUCAGCCUAGGCAGUGGCUUAUGAUUUGCGAAGAUUCUAUCCUUCAUUCCGAUCACUGUACUUUUAUAAAUUUGCCUCAUCCCGUUACUCUGCGGCCUAAAAAAUUUUUAUUAUCUGAAAGUCAAACAGUUUUAUAUGAACUUCGUCACUACAAACCAACUUUGUGCUCUUUUUUUAUAAAUGAUUAUGUAUGUCAAGAUGGGAGUUUUUUAGUAGCCACAAAAAUUGAUCCAUUACUAUUAAUUUUGCCUCUACUAUUAAAAAUUUUUACAGACCGUCCUUCUUAUAUGACUUUGGAACAAAUAUUGUAUAGUGGAGCACAUCCAGGCUAUGCCUGGCUUCAGAAAUGCAACUUUAGAGAGCUAAGCUAUAUUUGUGAAGUAAAAGAGUUCCAAGGGGGAAAGACAUACAAACUUUGUUUAACUAAAUUACUUGACUGGUGUAAGUUAAAGGUCAUGCGGAUCUCAAAGCUUAAUGCCGAGCUUAAUUUACAACUUGGGACAUCUUCGAGUUAUAAUUUAAAGGAAAAAUAUAAUAAUUUCACAAGUUUUCAGCCAAAUAUUCAUCACAUCGCUUACGCAGUGGAUACGUUGGGAGAGUAUUUACCAGACUUUGUAAUAUAUAAAUUGCAGGAAAGUUUGGGCAUCAAUUUUAAAGAAGAUUUUUUGGAAAAGCGUGAUAAAAAGAUACUUUCGUCUGCCCCUCUUGAAGAUUAUAUGAAUGAGGAU